rnacentral:rRNA from 1 species
UACGUAGGGCGCAAGCGUUGUCCGGAAUUAUUGGGCGUAAAGAGCUCGUAGGCGGUCUGUCACGUCUGCCGUGAAAACCCGAGGCUUAACCUCGUGGCUUGCGGUGGAUACGGGCAGACUAGAGGUAGGUAGGGGAGAACGGAAUUCCCGGUGUAGCGGUGAAAUGCGCAGAUAUCGGGAGGAACACCCGUAGCGAAGGCGGUUCUCUGGGCCGGUACUGACGCUGAGGAGCGAAAGCGUGGGGAGCAAACAGG